UACACAUGCAAGUCGAACGGCAGCAUGAUCUAGCUUGCUAGAUUGAUGGCGAGUGGCGAACGGGUGAGUAAUACAUCGGAACGUGCCCUGUAGUGGGGGAUAACUAGUCGAAAGAUUAGCUAAUACCGCAUACGACCUGAGGGUGAAAGUGGGGGACCGCAAGGCCUCAUGCUAUAGGAGCGGCCGAUGUCUGAUUAGCUAGUUGGUGGGGUAAAGGCCCACCAAGGCGACGAUCAGUAGCUGGUCUGAGAGGACGAUCAGCCACACUGGGACUGAGACACGGCCCAGACUCCUACGGGAGGCAGCAGUGGGGAAUUUUGGACAAUGGGCGAAAGCCUGAUCCAGCAAUGCCGCGUGUGUGAAGAAGGCCUUCGGGUUGUAAAGCACUUUUGUCCGGAAAGAAAUGGCUCUGGUUAAUACCUGGGGUCGAUGACGGUACCGGAAGAAUAAGGACCGGCUAAUUACGUGCCAGCAGCCGCGGUAAUACGUAGGGUCCAAGCGUUAAUCGGAAUUACUGGGCGUAAAGCGUGCGCAGGCGGUUGUGCAAGACCGAUGUGAAAUCCCCGAGCUUAACUUGGGAAUUGCAUUGGUGACUGCACGGCUAGAGUGUGUCAGAGGGGGGUAGAAUUCCACGUGUAGCAGUGAAAUGCGUAGAGAUGUGGAGGAAUACCGAUGGCGAAGGCAGCCCCCUGGGAUAACACUGACGCUCAUGCACGAAAGCGUGGGGAGCAAACAGGAUUAGAUACCCUGGUAGUCCACGCCCUAAACGAUGUCAACUAGUUGUUGGGGAUUCAUUUCCUUAGUAACGUAGCUAACGCGUGAAGUUGACCGCCUGGGGAGUACGGUCGCAAGAUUAAAACUCAAAGGAAUUGACGG
rnacentral:rRNA from 1 species